rnacentral:misc_RNA from 1 species
CGCACCUUGCGCUCCUUGGUAUUCCGAGGAGCAUGCCUGUUUGAGUGUCAUGAAAUCAUCAACUUACAAGCCUUUGCGGGUUCUGUAAGCUUGGACUUGGAGGUUUUUUUUGUUGGCUUAGCAGUCAACUCCUCUUAAAUGCAUUAGCUCGAUUCCUUGCAGAUCGGCUCUCGGUGUGAUAAUUAUUUACGCCAUGACCGUGAUGUAUAUUGGUGGGCUUCUAAUUGUCUCUUUAGGGACCAAUAUUUUGACCUCUGACCUCAAAUCAGGUAGGACUACCCGCUGAACUUAA